UGCUAUUUUCGCCUCUUCUUCUCAUUGUAAUCUACUUUAGCAGUUUCACUGUACUUUUUAUUAUGUUGCGAUUUCUGUUUUGCAGUAGAGUUUUCUUCAUUACUGUCCUCCUCCUUUCUCUUUUCACUUUAAGUUUUGUUAUUUUUUUUCAAUAAAAAAAUGCUUUUAUAUGUUUCCAGGUGAAAAGUUGAAAAUUUAGUAUUCGUUUCUACUUUUUAAUUUUGCAUAGAUGUAACCAUCGUUGAACAGACUGAUCUUGGCAUGCGUCUCAGCUCUAAUGUAAGAAAGUCCAACUCAAGUUGGCGAUGAGUUAGCUGGAGCCUGUUGUAAUACGUUGGAACACCUGUAAAGAAGAAGAGUCAUUGGAGACGAAGAAGAAGAAUUGAUAGGGAAGAUGAAAAAUCGUUGUAGAAGAUGAAUCUGUUGGUGACUUUCCUACUACUUGCUUGAUUUGAGCUAAGGCUACUCCAGCUUGAGGUCAACUUGUUCAAGCCGAGCGGCUCAGAUCCACCUCUUAUUGUGACGUUGAAUUGUUUGGAUUGGAGAUGUAAAGUAGGGUGUGCAAGCUGAUUCUUUUUUAUGCUACAACCAUAAAAUUUUCCUUGCAUUUAUGUUUAGAAAAAAAUGGGAAGCAGCAUCGUUAAUGGGUUUUGUUGUGUAGCUUGUUUGAUUGCAGAAACUUGGCAACACUUUUGGGUUAGGACCUACUUGUAUAGUUCUGUUGGUAGUUGGCAGUUUUUUUACUUCUGUUGGAAGAAACUAUGUUUUAUUUGGCGAGUCUAUAGAUUGUCAUUGUUGUGCUGGAUAUUUUGUUGUGAGGAUUAUUGAGUCUUUAGUCAAUAUUUGAUAACCAUAAGUCUCCUUCAAAGGAGAAUUAUGGGAAGUAGUUAGCCCUUUCA